rnacentral:rRNA from 1 species
GGUCUGAGAGGAUGAUCCGCCACAUUGGGACUGAGACACGGCCCAGACUCCUACGGGAGGCAGCAGUGGGGAAUUUUGGACAAUGGGCGCAAGCCUGAUCCAGCCAUGCCGCGUGUUUGAAGAAGGCCUUCGGGUUGUAAAGGACUUUUGUCCGGGAGCAAAUCCCAGUGGUUAAUACCUACUGGGGCUGAGAGUACCGGAAGAAUAAGCACCGGCUAACUACGUGCCAGCAGCCGCGGUAAUACGUAGGGUGCAAGCGUUAAUCGGAAUUACUGGGCGUAAAGCGUGCGCAGGCGGUUGUGCAAGUCUGAUGUGAAAGCCCCGGGCUUAACCUGGGAACGGCAUUGGAGACUG